GUAUGGUUAGCUCAGUUGGUAGAGCGCUCCACUGGAAAUGGAGAGGCCCAGGGUUCGAUACCCGGACCUUUCC
rnacentral:tRNA from 1 species